GAUGAACGCUGGCGGCGUGCCUAACACAUGCAAGUCGAACGAAGCACCUUACCUGAUUCUUCGGAUGAAAUUUUGGUGACUGAGUAGCUGACGGGUGAGUAACGCGUGUGUAACCUGCCCUGUACAGGGGGAUAACAGCUGGAAACGGCUGCUAAUACCUCAUAAGCGCACGAGGAGACAUCUCCUUGUUUUAAAAACUCCGGUUGUACAGGAUGGGCCCGCAUCUGAUUAGAUGGAUGGCAGGGUAACGGCCUACCAAGGCAACGAUCAGUAGCCGGUCUGAGAGGAUGAACGGCCACAUUGGAGCUGAGACGCAGUCCAGACUCCUACGGGAGGCAGCAGUGGGGAAUAUUGCACAAUGGGGGAAACGCUGAUGCAGCAACGACGCGUGAGUGCAGAAGUAUUUCAGUAUGUAAAGCUCUAUCAGCAGGGAAGAUCAUGACGGUACCUGACUAAGAAGCCCCGGCUAAAUACGUG
rnacentral:rRNA from 1 species